GGUUCGAUCCUGGCUCAGAUUGAACGCGCUGUGGGAUGCUUUACACAUGCAAGUCGAACGGCAGCACGGACUUCGGUCUGGUGGCGAGUGGCGAACGGGUGAGUAAUGUAUCGGAACGUGCCUAGUAGCGGGGGAUAACUACGCGAAAGCGUAGCUAAUACCGCAUACGCCCUUCGAGGAAAGCGGGGGACCUUCGGGCCUCGCACUAUUAGAAACGGCCGAUAUCGGAUUAGCUGGUUAAUUGGGGUAACGGCUCACCAAGGCGACGAUCCGUAGCUGGUUUGAGAGGACGACCAGCACACUGGGACUGAGACCACGGCCCAGACUCCUACAGGAGGCAGCAGCGGGGAAUUUUGGACAAUGGGGAAACCCUGAUCAGUCAUCCCGCGUGUGCGAUGAAGGCCUUCGGGUUGUAAAGCACUUUUGGCAGGAAAGAAACGGCCUGGAUAAUACCCCGUGCAACUGACGGUACCUGCAGAAUAAGCACCAGUAACUACGUGCCAGCAGCCGCGGUAAUACGUAGGGUGCAAGCGUUAAUCGGAAUUACUGGGCGUAAAGCGUGCGCAGGCGGUUCGGAAGAAGAUGUGAAAUCCCAGGCUUAACUUUGGAACUGCAUUUUAACUACCGAGCUAGAGUGUGUCAGAGGUGGAAUUCCCGCGUGUAGCAGUGAAAUGCGUAGAUAUGCGGAGGAACACCGAUAGCGAGCAGCCUCCUGGAAGUUCAACACUGACGCUCAUGCACAGCGUGGGGAGCAAACGGGAUUAGAUACCUAGGUAGUCCACGCCUAAACGAUGUCAACUAGCUGUUGGGGCCUUCCGGGCCUUGGUAGCGCAGCUAACGCGUGAAAGUUGACCGCCUGGGAGAGUACGAUUACUUAAGAUUAAAACUCAAAGGAAUUGACAGGGACCCGCACAAGCGGUGGAUGAUGUGGAUUAAUUCGAUGCAAUGCGAAAAACCUUACCUACCCUUGACAUGCCGGAAUCCCGAAGAGAUUUGGGUGUGCUCGCAAAGAGAACCGGAACACAGGUGCUGCAUGGCUGUCGUCAGCUCGUGUCGUGAGAUGUUGGGUUAAGUCCCGCAACGAGCUGUACUUGUCAUUAGUUGCUACGAAAGGGCACUCUAAUGAGACUGCCGGAAAUGACAAACCGGAGGAAGGUGGGGAUGACCCGUCAAAGUCCUCAUGGCCCUUAUGGGUAGGGCUUCACACGUCAUACAAUGGUCGGGACAGAGGGUCACUCUGUACGAGGGAGAACCAAUCCCAGAAACCCGAUCGUAGUCCGGAUCAUGAUCUGCUCGACUGCGUGAAGUCAGAAUCCUUUAGUAAUCGCGGAUCGCUUAUGUCGCGGUGAAUACGUUCCCGGGUCUUGUACACACCGCCCGCCACACCAUGGGAGUGGGUUUUACCGUGGUCAGCUAACCGUAGAGGAGGGCGAUUACCACGGUAGGAUUCAUGACUGGGGGUGAAGUCGUAACAAGGUUG
rnacentral:rRNA from 1 species